rnacentral:rRNA from 1 species
UACAGAGGGUGCGAGCGUUAAUCGGAAUUACUGGGCGUAAAGCGCGCGUAGGCGGUUUUGCAAGUCGGGUGUGAAAUCCCCAGGCUUAACCUGGGAACUGCAUUCGAGACUGCAUUACUAGAGUAUGGGAGAGGGAAGUGGAAUUUCCGGUGUAGCGGUGGAAUGCGUAGAGAUCGGGAAGAAUACCUGUGGCGAAGGCGGCCAGCUGGGCCAGAUCCGACACUGAGGCGCGAAAGCGUGGGGAGCAAACAGG